rnacentral:tRNA from 1 species
GCCUGGGUGGCUCAGUUGGUUGAGCAUCUGACUUCAGCUCAGGUCAUGAUCUCUCAGUUUGUGAGUUCGAGCCCCGCGUCAGGCU